CAGUGCUAGACUUCACCUUUCAGAGAUACACUGAAAGUUGUCAAAUAUGUUUCUAACCGUACUGGUUUUCCACAUGUUCAAUACAAAUUGUUAUGGCAAGUCUGAAAAACCUUGUUCUUUAAAAUAUCAUUUAAUCAACCAGAUUGAAAGGAACUUGGUGGAACUGAAGUCUUUGCAUGUUCAAACACCCGAGAAUAGCGGACAUCAAGCUGAAACGUAUAUCAGAUGGGGAAAGUCCAGUUGCCCACAGGAAGCAACACUGGUUUAUGAUGGUUAUGCUGCCGGUAAUGAUUAUAGAAUUGCAGGGUCAGGUUCAAAUUUCCUGUGCCUACCAAAGACUCCGGAUUGGAAAGAAUAUACAAGCGGAGCGAAUCAAGGAUCAGGUCGUAUAUUUGGCGUUGAAUAUGAAGUAUUAAAUCAUAAACCUUAUCCAAAGAGUUUUCACAAUCAAGACAUGCCAUGUGCUAUGUGUUUAACAGCUAAAUCUACUGUUCUGAUGGUUCCAGGAAAACUAACAUGUCAUGAAAGCUGGCAUAAAGAAUUUUCGGGUUAUUUGAUGUCGGCAAUGAGCAAUUAAAAUCCGUACAACGUCGGAAUACAUAUGCGUAGACGAGAAGUUAGAGUCCGUUCCAGGUAGCAACGCUGAUCAUGAUAAAUCCAUCGUUUACCCAGCAGAAGCUGUUUGUGGUAAUUUAAAAUGUCCACCAUAUGUUGGUGGU